UUUGGUUAAGUUAGAAAGGGCGCACGGUGGAUGCCUUGACACUAGGAGUCGAUGAAGGACGGGACUAACGCCGAUAUGCUUCGGGGAGCUGUAAGUAAGCUUUGAUCCGAAGAUUUCCGAAUGGGGAAACCCACCAUACGUAAUGGUAUGGUAUCCUUAUCUGAAUACAUAGGAUNNNNNNNNNNNNNNNNNNNNNNNNNNNNNNNNNNNNNNNNNNNNNNNNNNNNNNNNNNNNNNNNNNNNNNNNNNNNNNNNNNNNNNNNNNNNNNNNNNNNNNNNNNNNNNNNNNNNNNNNNNNNGUUGUAGGACAUUCUAUACGGAGUUACAAAGGAACGAGGUAGACGAAGCGACCUGGAAAGGUCCGUCGUAGAGGGUAACAACCCCGUAGUCGAAACUUCGUUCUCUCUUGAAUGUAUCCUGAGUACGGCGGAACACGUGAAAUUCCGUCGGAAUCUGGGAGGACCAUCUCCCAAGGCUAAAUACUCCCUAGUGAUCGAUAGUGAACCAGUACCGUGAGGGAAAGGUGAAAAGCACCCCGGAAGGGGAGUGAAAGAGAUCCUGAAACCGUGUGCCUACAAAUAGUCAGAGCCCGUUAACGGGUGAUGGCGUGCCUUUUGUAGAAUGAACCGGCGAGUUACGAUCCCGUGCGAGGUUAAGCUGAAGAGGCGGAGCCGCAGCGAAAGCGAGUCUGAAUAGGGCGUUUAGUACGUGGUCGUAGACCCGAAACCAGGUGAUCUACCCAUGUCCAGGGUGAAGUUCAGGUAACACUGAAUGGAGGCCCGAACCCACGCACGUUGAAAAGUGCGGGGAUGAGGUGUGGGUAGCGGAGAAAUUCCAAUCGAACCUGGAGAUAGCUGGUUCUCCCCGAAAUAGCUUUAGGGCUAGCCUUAAGUGUAAGAGUCUUGGAGGUAGAGCACUGAUUGGACUAGGGGUCCUCAUCGGAUUACCGAAUUCAGUCAAACUCCGAAUGCCAAUGACUUAUCCUUAGGAGUCAGACUGCGAGUGAUAAGAUCCGUAGUCAAAAGGGAAACAGCCCAGACCGCCAGCUAAGGUCCCAAAGUGUGUAUUAAGUGGAAAAGGAUGUGGAGUUGCUUAGACAACUAGGAUGUUGGCUUAGAAGCAGCCACCAUUUAAAGAGUGCGUAAUAGCUCACUAGUCGAGUGACUCUGCGCCGAAAAUGUACCGGGGCUAAAUACACCACCGAAGCUGCGGAUUGAUACCAAUGGUAUCAGUGGUAGGGGAGCGUUCUAAGGACAGUGAAGUCAGACCGGAAGGACUGGUGGAGUGCUUAGAAGUGAGAAUGCCGGUAUGAGUAGCGAAAGACGGGUGAGAAUCCCGUCCACCGAAUGCCUAAGGUUUCCUGAGGAAGGCUCGUCCGCUCAGGGUUAGUCAGGACCUAAGCCGAGGCCGACAGGCGUAGGCGAUGGACAACAGGUUGAUAUUCCUGUACCACCUCUUUAUCGUUUGAGCAAUGGAGGGACGCAGAAGGAUAGAAGAAGCGUGCGAUUGGUUGUGCACGUCCAAGCAGUUAGGCUGAUAAGUAGGCAAAUCCGCUUAUCGUGAAGGCUGAGCUGUGAUGGGGAAGCUCCUUAUGGAGCGAAGUCUUUGAUUCCCCGCUGCCAAGAAAAGCUUCUAGCGAGAUAAAAGGUGCCUGUACCGCAAACCGACACAGGUAGGCGAGGAGAGAAUCCUAAGGUGUGCGAGAGAACUCUGGUUAAGGAACUCGGCAAAAUGACCCCGUAACUUCGGGAGAAGGGGUGCUUUCUUAACGGAAAGCCGCAGUGAAUAGGCCCAAGCGACUGUUUAGCAAAAACACAGCUCUCUGCGAAGCCGUAAGGCGAAGUAUAGGGGGUGACACCUGCCCGGUGCUGGAAGGUUAAGGAGAGGGGUUAGCGUAAGCGAAGCUCUGAACUGAAGCCCCAGUAAACGGCGGCCGUAACUAUAACGGUCCUAAGGUAGCGAAAUUCCUUGUCGGGUAAGUUCCGACCCGCACGAAAGGUGUAACGAUUUGGGCACUGUCUCAACCAGAGACUCGGUGAAAUUAUAGUACCUGUGAAGAUGCAGGUUACCCGCGACAGGACGGAAAGACCCCGUGGAGCUUUACUGUAGCCUGAUAUUGAAUUUUGGUACAGUUUGUACAGGAUAGGCGGGAGCCUUUGAAACCGGAGCGCUAGCUUCGGUGGAGGCGCUGGUGGGAUACCGCCCUGACUGUAUUGAAAUUCUAACCUACGGGUCUUAUCGACCCGGGAGACAGUGUCAGGUGGGCAGUUUGACUGGGGCGGUCGCCUCCUAAAGUGUAACGGAGGCGCCCAAAGGUUCCCUCAGAAUGGUUGGAAAUCAUUCGUAGAGUGCAAAGGCAUAAGGGAGCUUGACUGCGAGACCUACAAGUCGAGCAGGGACGAAAGUCGGGCUUAGUGAUCCGGUGGUUCCGCAUGGAAGGGCCAUCGCUCAACGGAUAAAAGCUACCCCGGGGAUAACAGGCUUAUCUCCCCCAAGAGUCCACAUCGACGGGGAGGUUUGGCACCUCGAUGUCGGCUCAUCGCAUCCUGGGGCUGUAGUCGGUCCCAAGGGUUGGGCUGUUCGCCCAUUAAAGCGGUACGCGAGCUGGGUUCAGAACGUCGUGAGACAGUUCGGUCCCUAUCCGUCGUGGGCGUAGGAAAUUUGAGAGGAGCUGUCCUUAGUACGAGAGGACCGGGAUGGACGCACCGCUGGUGUACCAGUUGUUCUGCCAAGGGCAUAGCUGGGUAGCUAUGUGCGGAAGGGAUAAGUGCUGAAAGCAUCUAAGCAUGAAGCCCCCCUCAAGAUGAGAUUUCCCAUAGCGUAAGCUAGUAAGAUCCCUGAAAGAUGAUCAGGUUGAUAGGUUCGAGGUGGAAGCAUGGUGACAUGUGGAGCUGACGAAUACUAAUAGAUCGAGGACUUAACCAUAUAA
rnacentral:rRNA from 1 species